UGGAGCUGCCUAGACCAGAGGGGGCUGAGGUAAGGCGAGGGCAGGAGCCGGGCCGGCCAGAGGAGCAGCCCAGAGAGCUGAGCUGGAGGCAGAGCAGCAGCGCGUUGGCAGAGUGGAGCUGGGGCUGGAGCCGGCGCCGUCUGGAGCCAGGUUCAAGGAGAGAUGUGGUGGGAAAAAGGGAACCUGAAGAAAGCAACGCAUCAGUAGAUUAAUCUGAUGUCUGAAGAGAUGUUGGUUUCUUCAGUUCUUGUUACCAUGUGAUGACUGAAAACUUAUAUCGAGCAACCUGAGUAGCUGUGACAGUCUCUCCCAGGCAAGCCCCACAGGAGAAGGAUGCUAUGGGGCAUUCCACCAAGCAGUUGAUGAGCCUACAAAAGAUCAGUUAGGAUUAGAGAUGGGGAGCAAGCAGUGAAAUCCAACAGAGACUUUUAUGUGUCUUGUUUGGGGCCAGCUAGGAAACCUCAAUGUCUAGGCUGUUUGUAGUUUUUCCACUGGGAGGUGAGGAAGUUUUCCUCCUUGUGGGCAAAAAUACUCAGUUUAUUUCCUGCUUUUAACCAGCAUGUGUGAAGUACUGUACAAAGCUCAAGAGAGAGCCUUCUGGUGUGGUUGAUUGGAGGUAGAUAUCUAACCAGUAAUGGAGGCAUAAUGGCCAAUUGAUGGAAACAUGGUCUUAACUAACA